rnacentral:rRNA from 1 species
AUGAAUUGCAUAAGUUGGAACCGUCGAGGGCUUGGGAACCCUGAGACAGUUCGCGAGCUUCGCAAAAUUGUGAAGCAAGAAGGUCCCGCCCUUCUCUUUGUUAUGGAAACAAAGAUUAAGGGUAAACGGGUGGAGAACCUGAAAUCCGUUCUAGGGUUUCAAAGUUGUUUUGCGGUGGAUAGCACUGGUUUAAGUGGUGGCAUUGGCUUGUUUUGGACAGAUGAAGUGCAUGUUGAACUCAAAAACUACAGCCGAGCGCACAUAGAUGUAAAAAUCAGGAGGAAAGAUGACCAAAACUCUUGGCGUUUUACAGGUUUUUACGGAGAACCCCGGACAGAGAACAGACACCACAGUUGGGCGUUCUUGCGUACUUUGCAUGGCAUUCAGCAUGAAUGA